rnacentral:tRNA from 1 species
GAUGGUAAAGCUCAAAUGGUAGAGCACAUGCUUAGCAUGCAUGAUGUCCUGGGUUCAAUCCCCAGUGCCCCCU